rnacentral:lncRNA from 1 species
AACAUCAUAAUAUUCAGUAUGUUAAAGUAAGUGUUAUAAAAGUGGGUAGGAAUUGUGCUUGAUAUUCGAGUGAUGAAGACAUAAUCGUUCAAUCAGUUUACAGCCGAUUGCAGGUUAGGUAAACUGCCAUCCUUUAAGAGUAUACAAGUCCGAUUAUAGCCAAUUUACAUGUCUGUAAGUCUAGACUAAUUCGAAAGGAGGGUAGUAUACCUUACAUAAUAACGACUUUACGGUUCAGCUA